rnacentral:ncRNA from 1 species
UGGGGACUACGGCCGCAAGGCUAAAACCCAAAGGAAUUGACGGGGGCUUACACAAGCGGUGGAGCAUGUGGUUUAAUUCGAAACAACGCGCAAAACCUUACCAAUCCUUGACAUAUGAAAAACCAGGGUGUUUACCCGCUCUGUCUCUUUUAUACAGGUGCUGCAUGGCUGUCGUCAGUUCGUGGUGUGAGCUGUUGGGUUAAGUCCCAGAACGAACGCAACCCUCCUUUGAAAUGAAGGUUUACCUUUUUCAAAGACUGCCAAGGAUAUCUUGGAGGAAGGUGAGGAUGACGUCAAGUCCGCAUGGCCCUUAUGGGUUGGGCUACACACGUGCUACAAUGGGAAUGACAAAAGGAGGCAACAUGGCAACAUUGAGCAAAUCCCAAAAAGUUUCCUUAGUUCGGAUUGUUCUCUGCAACUCGAGAACAUGAAGUUGGAAUCGCUAGUAAUCGUAGAUCAGCACGCUACGGUGAAUUUGUAUCUAAGCCUUGUACACACCGCCCGUCACACUCUGAAAAUUUUCAUGCCUUGAAGCAAAAGAAGUUCACCAAGAACACACAGCGCAAUUAAAAAAAAAACAUCUUCCCUUUUUUUUCUGUGUCUUUGUUGGAACCUUUUCUAGAGUUAGGGAGGUGAUUGGAGUGAAGUCGUAACAAGGUAGCUGUAGGGGAACCUGUAGCUG